UGGGGAAUCUUCCGCAAUGGGCGAAAGCCUGACGGAGCAACGCCGCGUGAGUGAAGAAGGCCUUCGGGUUGUAAAGCUCUGUCUUCAGGGAAGAAAAAAAUGACGGUACCUGAGGAGGAAGCCCCGGCUAACUACGUGCCAGCAGCCGCGGUAAAACGUAGGGGGCGAGCGUUGUCCGGAAUUACUGGGCGUAAAGGGCGCGUAGGCGGUCAUUUAAGUCAGAGGUGAAAACUACCGGCUCAACCGGUAGCCUGCCUUUGAAACUGGAUGACUUGAGGGCAGGAGAGGGGAGUGGAAUUCCCAGUGUAGCGGUGAAAUGCGUAGAUAUUGGGAGGAACACCAGUGGCGAAGGCGGCUCUCUGGCCUGUUUCUGACGCUGAGGCGCGAAAGCGUGGGGAGCGAACGG
rnacentral:rRNA from 1 species